rnacentral:rRNA from 1 species
UACUCGAGUGGCGACCGGGUGAGUAACACGUGGGUGAUCUGCCCUGCACUUCGGGAUAAGCCUGGGAAACUGGGUCUAAUACCGGAUAGGAGCCAUUUUUAGUGUGAUGGUUGGAAAGUUUUUUCGGUGUAGGAUGAGCUCGCGGCCUAUCAGCUUGUUGGUGGGGUAAUGGCCUACCAAGGCGGCGACGGGUAGCCGGCCUGAGAGGGUGGACGGCCACAUUGGGACUGAGAUACGGCCCAG